rnacentral:rRNA from 1 species
GACAGCAGUAGCCACGGGAAUACGAAGGGGGCUAGCGUUGCUCGGAAUUACUGGGCGUAAAGGGCGCGUAGGCGGAUGUUUAAGUCAGAGGUGAAAGCCCAGGGCUCAACCUUGGAACUGCCUUUGAUACUGGACAUCUUGAGUGUGGGAGAGGUGAGUGGAACUCCGAGUGUAGAGGUGAAAUUCGUAGAUAUUCGGAAGAACACCAGUGGCGAAGGCGACUCACUGGCCCAUUACUGACGCUGAGGCGCGAAAGCGUGGGGAGCAAACAGGAUUAGAUACCCCCGUAGUCCCUGUCUCUUAUAC